rnacentral:rRNA from 1 species
AGAUUGAACGCUGGCGGCAUGCUUUACACAUGCAAGUCGAACGGCAGCACGGGUGCUUGCACUUGAUGGCGAGUGGCGAACGGGUGAGUAAUACAUCGGAACGUGUCCUGAAGUGGGGGGAUAACGCAUCGAAAGAUGUGCUAAUACCGCAUAUUCUCUGAGGAGGAAAGUAGGGGAUCGAAAGACCUUAUGCUUUUGGAGCGGCCGAUGUCUGAUUAGCUAGUUGGUGGGGUAAUGGCCUACCAAGGCGACGAUCAGUAGUUGGUCUGAGAGGACGACCAGCCACACUGGGACUGAGACACGGCCCAGACUCUACGGGAGCAGCAGUAGGGAAUUUGGACAAGUGGGCGCAAGCCUGAUCCAGCAAUGCCGCGUGAGUGAAGAGGCCGUUCGGUUGUAAAGCGUCUUCUAGUUGAAGAAGAAAGGACGUAGACUAAUAAUUAUGUCAUGAGUAUAC